rnacentral:snRNA from 1 species
AGCUUUGCGCAGUGGCAGUAUCGUAGCCAAUGAGGUUUAUCCGAGGCGCGAUUAUUGCUAAUUGAAAACUUUUCCCAAAAAUCAAAGCAAAUUAUACAUAUCCAAUAUACAGG